UUUAUGGUGUAGUGGUUAGCAGUCUGGACUUUGAAUCUAGCGACCUGGGUUCGACCCCCAUUAGGACAU